rnacentral:rRNA from 1 species
AGUUCAGACUGCAGGCUGCAACUCGCCUGCACGAAGUCGGAAUUGCUAGUAAUCGUGGGUCAGCAUACUACGGUGAAUACGUUCCCGGGCCUUGUACACACCGCCCGUCAAACCAUGAGAGUUGGCAACACCCGAAGUCGGUAGUCUAACCGCAAGGAGGACGCCGCCGAAGGUGGGGUUGAUGAUUAGGGUUAAGUCGUAACAAGGUAGC